rnacentral:rRNA from 1 species
UACGAACUGUGCAAACGUUAUUCGGAAUCACUGGGCUUAAAGGGUGCGUAGGCGGCUUGUCAAGUAGGGUGUGAAAGCCCCCCGGCUUAACCGGGGAAUUGCGCCCUAAACUGACGAGCUGGAGUGGGACAAGGGUGUGUGGAACUUCCGGUGGAGCGGUGAAAUGUGUUGAUAUCGGAAGGAACGCCGGUGGCGAAAGCGACACACUGGGUCUCAACUGACGCUGAGGCACGAAAGCCAGGGGAGCGAACGGG